rnacentral:rRNA from 1 species
GGGUCAGUAGGUUGGUCGUGCCACCGGUACGUACUGGUCUCACUGAUUCCCCCUUCCUGAAGAGCCGUAAUGCCAUUAAUUUGGUGUUGCGGGGAAACAGGACUGUUACUUUGAAAAAAUUAGAGUGUUUAAAGCAAGCUAACGCUUGAAUACAUUAGCAUGGAAUAAUGAAAUAGGACGAUCGAUCCUAUUUUGUUGGUUUCUAGGAUUGACGUAAUGAUUAUAGGUAUAGUUGGG